CGAGUCCGGUGAGCUCUCGAUACGAACAAGCUCGAUACGCGACUUUUCCGAGUCUCUGAAAACUACCAAUUAACCUCGACGUCUUUCUGUCGCUGUCGCAUAAAGUUCUGUUCUCGAUCUACUUCGACGUUCUAAGCACGCGAUUCUCGUCAGUGUCGCACAGUUAAUCGAUCUUUCCGAACAAUCCCACGACGAAAGCCCUACUCUUUACUCUAAUUAUUUUAUUAUGUAUUAAUUGUUCCAUCUGUUUGUCCUUGGUAAUAGCUACACUUUGUUCGAUUUCUAGUAAUAUUAUUUCUACCUGACCAAAGUGUACGAAUUAAUAAUUGUAUUAUUAACAACAACAAUAAUACAAAGAAUAAUACAAAGGAACAAAGUGUAUUAAUUAAUAAUUAGAGGCUGUGCCUAUUACCUUUUUGCAACAGACUGCAAAUUUAAAUCACUUAUUAAAUGCAGCGCUAAUA
rnacentral:misc_RNA from 1 species